CCUGCCCUUCAGUGGGGGAAUAACUCCUCGAAAGAGGUGCUAAUACCGCAUUCGCUCUCUCUCGUUGGGGAGAGAGGAAACCUGCAUUCGCAAGAGUGGGGGGCUGAUGGAGGGGACUGCGGCGGAUUAGCUAGAUGGUGGGGUAACGGCCUACCAUGGCUACGAUCCGUAGCUGGUCUGAGAGGACGACCAGCCACACUGGGACUGAGACACGGCCCAG
rnacentral:rRNA from 1 species